rnacentral:rRNA from 1 species
CCAAUAGCGUAUAUUAAAGUUGUUGCAGUUAAAAAGCUCGUAGUUGAAUUUCGGGAUUGGCGUGUCGGUCGUGCCUUACGGGGUAUGAACUGGCGUCGUCGAUUUCUCACCUUCUGGAGAAUCACGAUGCCCUUAAUUGGGUGUCGUGUGGAACCAGGACCUUUACCUUGAAAAAAUUAGAGUGUUUAAAGCAGGCAUUUUGCUCGAAUACAUUAGCAUGGAAUAAUAAAAUAGGACGGCUUGGUUCUAUUUUGUUGGUUUCUAGGAUCACCGUAAUGAUUAAUAGGGAUAGUUGGGGGCAUUAGUAUUCAAUUGUCAGAGGUGAAAUUCUUGGAUUUAUUGAAGACUAACUACUGCGAAAGCAUUUGCCAAGGAUGUUUUCAUUAAUCAAGAACGAAAGUUAGGGGAUCGAAGACGAUCAGAUACCGUCGUAGUCUUAACCAUAAACUAUGCCGACUAGGAAUCAGACGAUGUUAAUUUUUUAAUGACUCGUUUGGCACCUUACG